rnacentral:rRNA from 1 species
AUGUUAGAAGGAUACAAUGCAUUGUUGCAGAAUGACACUUGGUUGUUGGUUGCUCAUCCUGUAGGUACAAACGUGGUGACCGGCAAAUGGAUUUUUUGCCACAAGUUCAACCCCGACGGUUCCUUGCAUGACAAGGCGAGGUGGGUGCUCCGCGGCUUCACGCAACAAGACAACAUCGACUACGGAGAGACCUUCAGCCCGGUGAUCAAACUGGCCACGAUAUGUGUCGUCCUCAGCCUCGCCACCAGCAACUCAUGGCCAAUCCACCAACUCGACAUGAAGAAAGCAUUCUUGCACGGUCACCUUGCCGAGACCGUGUACAGCGCCCAAACUGUUGGAUUCAUUGAUUCUGCUCACCCCAAGGACGUGUGUCGCCUCAAACAUUCUCUUUACGGGUUAAAACAGGCACCCAGGGCAUGGUUCUCACAGUUCACUUCCUAUCUAGUCUCCCUUGUAUUUUCUUGA